UACGUAGGGGGCUAGCGUUGUCCGGAAUCAUUGGGCGUAAAGCGCGUGUAGGCGGUUCGGUAAGUCCGCUGUGAAAGUCGGGGGCUCAACCCUCGGAUGCCGGUGGAUACUGUCGGACUAGAGUGCGGAAGAGGCGAGUGGAAUUCCUGGUGUAGCGGUGAAAUGCGUAGAGAUGUGGAGGAACACCGAUGGCGAAGGCAGCCCCCUGGGCUAACACUGACGCUCAUGCACGAAAGCGUGGGGAGCAAACAGG
rnacentral:rRNA from 1 species